UACGAAGGGGGCUAGCGUUGUUCGGAAUUAGCUAGGGCGUGAAAGCGCGCGCAGGCGGCUAUCCAAGUCAGUGGUCGGAAAGCCCGGAGCUCAACUCCGGAACUGCCAUUGAAACUGUUUAGCUUGAGGACGAGAGAGGUGAGUGGAAUUCCCAGUGUAGAGGUAGAAAUUCGUAGAUAUUGGGAAGAACACCGGUGGCGAAGGCGGCUCACUGGCUCGUUUCUGACGCUCAGGCGCGACAGCGUGGGGAUCAAACAGG
rnacentral:rRNA from 1 species